CACUCUGCGCAGUGGCAGUAUCGUAGCCAAUGAGGUUUAUCCGAGGUGCGAUUACUGCUAAUUGAAAACUUUUCCCUAAAGUAUGAAACUGUUCCCCACAGUGCUGUCUGCACACUCUCAUGACUAAUCCUGUCACCUCUAGAGAG